UGGGGAAUAUUGGACAAUGGGCGAAAGCCUGAUCCAGCCAUGCCGCGUGUGUGAAGAAGGCCUUUUGGUUGUAAAGCACUUUAAGUGGGGAGGAAAAGCUUGUGGUUAAUACCCAUAAGCCCUGACGUUACCCACAGAAUAAGCACCGGCUAACUCUGUGCCAGCAGCCGCGGUAAUACAGAGGGUGCAAGCGUUAAUCGGAAUUACUGGGCGUAAAGCGCGCGUAGGUGGUUAUUUAAGUCAGAUGUGAAAGCCCCGGGCUUAACCUGGGAACUGCAUCUGAUACUGGAUAACUAGAGUAGGUGAGAGGGGAGUAGAAUUCCAGGUGUAGCGGUGAAAUGCGUAGAGAUCUGGAGGAAUACCGAUGGCGAAGGCAGCUCCCUGGCAUCAUACUGACACUGAGGUGCGAAAGCGUGGGUAGCAAACAGGAUUAGAUACCCUGGUAGUCCACGCCGUAAACGAUGUCUACCAGUCGGUGGGUCUUUUAAAGACUUAGUGACGCAGUUAACGCAAUAAGUAGACCGCCUGGGGAGUACGGCCGCAAGGUUA
rnacentral:rRNA from 1 species